UACUAAAAGCAAUAUAUAGUGAGCAAAUAGCAUGUCCACGUCAGAUUAAAAAUUUAACCAAUCAGAUUAUAAGCUUUUGCCACGUAAGCAACAAAUUGACUAUGUUGGGUUUUGCGUUUUUUCUUUUAAUGUGUCGUGUUAUACGAUCGGGCCAUAAAGCCCAUCAACUUUGAGAGACAGAUAUCUGAAACCUCGCCGACCUGACCUCCCCUUUCUCAUUUCUUCGAACCCUAAUUUUCUAGAUCGCUACCUCUCCAUCUUCUCCUCUUUAAUGAUACCCUUAAUAACUCAAACGUUUCAAAACCUCCACCACUGUCGUUGCUAUACAUAUUGGAUCGUCAAGCCAGGAUUGGAACAUCUCAAAUCUCAUUUUCUCAACUGCUGUUUCUUCUCAGUCAGCCGUUCUUCAUGCCACCUUCGACGAUCUCCGCCUUGGUUGGUCUUGGCCGCCUCCUCCGCAUCACCCCCAUUCCGACUUUUUUCUCCCUGCAAGUUAUUACCAGUUUACCACUCCAUCCAAUAGUGUUUUCCAGCGAUGCUCUCGCUUCCCCAGCUGUGGUUAAUCACACCACGUUCGAUGAUCUUCGUCUUUAGAUGUUUGGGUUGCGCGGCUCCGUAUUAACAAAUUGCAGAGCAACAUAGUCUUAUGAUUCUCGACCAGUUUGAAUGUUUCUUUGAAGGUCUCUUAGACGCUGAUGCUAAUAACUCUUGCGUUUGUUGUGUCUUAAUGUAUUUUUUUGAGUACAAACAAUCAUGGCAUACUUUAUGACCCAAUUUUGUUGAUUGACUGAUAGAGAGGUUGAAGCUUCUCUCCGGUGAGGAGAAGGACCCACACUCUGUCACCACCAAGCGGUUAUGGGAGGAGGAAUCAAAGUCAAGCCUUAAAUGAAGUAGAUAUUGAGGUCGUAGAAGGAACUUCCUGGCAAGCGUUUUGAUUUGCAAUCUACGGCAUGAUUGCAGGUUUAUAUUUGACAUAUAUUUAAUUCCCUUCAGCCAUUUUCUCUAAGCAUAGUUAAGCCUGAGGUUCUUUUAUAUUUAGAAACAAUUUUAGAUAGUUAAUGUAUGUCCCAGACUUCUCUCGAUAUGUUUGGUCAGAUGAGUGUUUGUUUUAUGAUAAAUUUAAGGGAAAGGUAUGAGAUGAAUUUUUUUUUGGUCAUCUAAAUUAUUAAAGUUUGAACGGGUGAUUUAACCACA